CCCGGAUUGAGUGACAGGUAGGGUGGAAGGGGGCGGGGCCUGCGCGUCACGGCAGUGGAGGGACGCCGUGAGGCGCGCAAGGGUUAAAACAAAAUGGCGGCCGCGCUACCACGGGGGGCGCGCAAGGGUUAAAACAAAAUGGCGGCCGGGGGUGUAGCAAGCGCGUCGUGUACUGAGUCCGGGAAAGGGCUGCCGGGAAGGAGCGAGUGAAGGAAAAACGUUUGAGGAACAACCGAUUGAGAUCCCAAAGACUGGUGACCAUUUUGAACUCACGGAACAGCAGUACGAAGAGAGUGAUCCCAAAGUGCUGCUUCUCACACGGCCAGGUAAGAAGAGCUUAUGGUGCAGUGAAACCACGGUAAUCAAACAAAAGUCAGAAACAUAAAUGAAGCAGCCUCCAUCUUUACCGUACAUUUCAGUGUAAGGGUAGAGAUACCUGAAUUAGCUCGAAACAGGUCAACUGAGAUACCUAGAGCUCUCACCGCAGCCCCAAAGAUCAGCCUCUGGCAGUGGGCAUUGUGUACUUGGUUUUCCACUGGGUGGCUCCACUGGGUUUGAGGUACACAACUGUAUUCUUUCCUGAAGGAACAGCACAAGAAUACAGGCUUUUGAAGCAGGUCUAGCCAACACCAGAGCUCCUAGCAGCGUCAAAUGAAAUUUUGUCCAAGGCCACUCUUUUUUCUCCUGCAUUUUUCCAGCUAUUGAAUUUGCCUUUGUUCUCCUGUGAGCCUGAACUGUGACUUGGCAAUGUGAGACUGGCAAAGUGAAGGCAUUUUUCACUCUGAUACUGGAUGCUGGACAAAAUACCAGCUGACUGGAGAUUCAGCUGUCAUAGCAUAUAAAAGCUACCUUUAUCUUAUGUAGAAGCAAUAGAAUAUUUUUUUUUUUAAUACUUUUUUUUUUUUUGAGUUUCAGUUGGAAACACAGUGAAGAACAAAUGAAUGCAUCCUGGUCCUUUUUUUUCUGCCUCAUCUGGUUCUGGCUUGCAGCAGUUGUUUGAAGAUACAUGAGUCUGCAGUUUGCCUAAGCAUGUUGGAAAGGAUGAAUUGACUGGAAGGAAUAAAUGAAAUACUGAAAGUGUGAAAAAGUGAGCA
rnacentral:lncRNA from 1 species